rnacentral:rRNA from 1 species
AGUAACACGUGGGCAACCUGCCUUACAGAGGGGGAUAGCCUUCCGAAAGGAAGAUUAAUACCGCAUAUUAUGAUUUUUCUGCAUGGGAAAGUCAUGAAAGGAAGCAAUCCGCUGUAAGAUGGGCCCGCGGCGCAUUAGCUAGUUGGUGAGGUAAGGGCUCACCAAGGCGACGAUGCGUAGCCGACCUGAGAGGGUGAUCGGCCACAUUGGGACUGAGACACGGCCCAGACUCCUAGGGAGGCAGCAUG